GACGAACGCUGGCGGCGUGCUUAACACAUGCAAGUCGAACGGAAAGGCCCUGCUUUUGUGGGGUGCUCGAGUGGCGAACGGGUGAGUAACACGUGAGUAACCUGCCCUUGACUUUGGGAUAACUUCAGGAAACUGGGGCUAAUACCGGAUAGGAGCUCCUGCUGCAUGGUGGGGGUUGGAAAGUUUCGGCGGUUGGGGAUGGACUCGCGGCUUAUCAGCUUGUUGGUGGGGUAGUGGCUUACCAAGGCUUUGACGGGUAGCCGGCCUGGGAGGGUGACCGGCCACAUUGGGACUGCGAUAGGGCCCAGACUCCUACGGGCGGCAGCAGUGGGGAAUAUUGCACAAUGGGCGGAAGCCUGAGGCAGCAACGCCGCGUGCGUGAUGACGGCCUUCGGGUUGUAAACCGCUUUCGCCUGUGACGAAGCGUGAGUGACGGUAAUGGGUAAAGAAGCACCGGCUAACUACGUG
rnacentral:rRNA from 1 species